GGUGGAAUUCUUUUGAGACUUUUGGCCACUUCAUUUUUCUUUCCAUUUCUAUCAUUUUCUCUCCAUCCAAACACCACUCAUGCCACUAUCUUUUCACUCAAACUCCACUCUAUGUGCAUGUCAAGCUAAAGAUAGCAUCUAACAAGGAAGUCACAUAAGCUUGCCCACUUGUCGCUUUUAGAUUUUUAAUGAUAGAAAUUGUGAUAAGAACCCAAAAGGAAAAUCAUGGGGAGGUGCAAGAGACCAGCUCCCCAGAUACCUAAGGAGACUCCCAAGAGACAUGAGAUCUCUUUGAAGCCAUUCAUUUUGGAGAGGUUGGAGGUUGCCGACCAAUUCAUUACUAAAGUAUUGUAGCUCUUCAAAGAGUUAAGAAGGAUUAUGAACCAGGAUAUGGCUAAGUAGAAUCGGCCUUGCCAGAGGACAUUUUGAUAUGGGACCACUAAGAUCAUGAAGAUAGAAUGUGUGUUUUGAUGACAGUUAAAUGAAGGUCCCAUAUUUUUUGGAGUUUUUGAAACAAUUAUGCCUUUUGAAAGAUUUUAUGAAAUCUGUUAUUUUGAAAUU